UACGAAGGGUGCAAACGCUGCUCGGAAUCAUUGGGCGUAAAGCGCACGUAGGCGGCCUUGCAAGUCGCGUGUGAAAGCCCCCGGCUCAACUGGGGAGGGUCACGCGAUACUGAUCGACUCGAAGGCAGGAGAGGGUAGUGGAAUUCCCGGUGUAGUGGUGAAAUGCGUAGAUAUCGGGAGGAACACCAGUGGCGAAGGCGACUACCUGGCCUGUUCUUGACGCUGAGGCGCGAAAGCUAGGGGAGCAAACAGG
rnacentral:rRNA from 1 species